CGUGUGGGUUCAUAAAACUGAUCGUAUUAGGAUGAACAUUUUAAUAACGUGUCCUCUACAGUAUAAAGCACAACAUAUCUAAAUACUGCAUUUGAAUUGCAAGAUAAUACGUUUUGUAAUUCAUAAGAGUCUAAGAAAAUGUGGAAAAUGUAUCUUGUGUGUGUUGUUCUUUUGAUGUUCAAAUAUUCUGUUCUGUCGUACGGAUUAACCCAACAUUCGGUGUUGGAAUUGUUUCCGGAAUUCCAUGACCUUGAAAAUAAAAACAAAGAAUCCGUAAAUCAGAUUCGGUCGUUGCAGUAUGAGGUGGCUGGUCUGCGGUCAUUGCAGAAUGAGGUGGCUCGUCUGCGGUCAUUACAGAAUGAUGUGGAUCGACUGCGGUCAUUGAAGAAUGAUGUGGAUCGUCUACGAGAAAAUAACAGUCGUUCUCAAGAUGAUUUAGAAAAAUCCGUACUGAAAUUACUUGAUCUUAUUAAACUGUUGCACAGAGAUAUAUUUUAAAAAUGCUAAGACAAAAUAUCAAAUCUUCACUGGGAGUACCACCGGGUAAAUCCAUUAAAAACAUUUAAUUAUUGUCAAGUAUACUAGAAAUUAGAUUUUGAUUUGAAAUAAAAUCUAUUUAGUUUG